rnacentral:rRNA from 1 species
CACGCCCUAAACGAUGCGAACUGGAUGUUGGGAGCAAUCAGGCUCUCAGUAUCGAAGCUAACGCGUUAAGUUCGCCGCCUGGGGAGUACGGUCGCAAGACUGAAACUCAAAGGAAUUGACGGGGGCCCGCACAAGCGGUGGAGUAUGUGGUUUAAUUCGAUGCAACGCGAAGAACCUUACCUGGCCUUGACAUGUCCGGAACCCUGCAGAGAUGCGGGGGUGCCUUCGGGAACCGGAACACAGGUGC